AGUGAACGCUGGCGGUAGGCCUAACACAUGCAAGUCGAACGGCAGCACAGUAAGAGCUUGCUCUUACGGGUGGCGAGUGGCGGACGGGUGAGGAAUACAUCGGAAUCUACUUUUUCGUGGGGGAUAACGUAGGGAAACUUACGCUAAUACCGCAUACGACCUACGGGUGAAAGAAGGGGAUCUUCGGACCUUGCGCGAUUGAAUGAGCCGAUGUCGGAUUAGCUAGUUGGCGGGGUAAAGGCCCACCAAGGCGACGAUCCGUAGCUGGUCUGAGAGGAUGAUCAGCCACACUGGAACUGAGACACGGUCCAGACUCCUACGGGAGGCAGCAGUGGGGAAUAUUGGACAAUGGGCGCAAGCCUGAUCCAGCCAUACCGCGUGGGUGAAGAAGGCCUUCGGGUUGUAAAGCCCUUUUGUUGGGAAAGAAAAGCAGCAGGUUAAUACCCCGCUGUUCGGACGGUACCCAAAGAAUAAGCACCGGCUAACUUCGU
rnacentral:rRNA from 1 species